rnacentral:rRNA from 1 species
UUUCCGGUUGAUCCUGCCGGAGGCCAUUGCUAUCGGAGUCCGAUUUAGCCAUGCUAGUCGAGCGAGGUUAGCCCUCGCGGCGAACAGCUCAGUAACACGUGGCCAAGCUACCCUGCAGAGGGGGACAGCGUCGGGAAACUGACGGGAAUCCCCCAUACCGGUCUCACGCUGGAAUGCCGAGACCGACAAACGCUCCGGCGCUGCAGGAUGCGGCUGCGGCCGAUUAGGUAGUCGGUGGGGUAACGGCCCACCGAGCCGAUAAUUGGUACGGGGUGUGAGAGCACGAGCCCGGAGACGGAAUCUGAGACAAGAUUCCGGGCCCUACGGGGCGCAGCAGGCGCGAAACCUUUACACUGCACGAACGUGCGAUAAGGGGACUCCGAGUGCGAGGGCAUACAGUCCUCGCUAUUGUGUACCGUAGGGUGGUACACGACCAAGAGCUGGGCAAGACCGGUGCCAGCCGCCGCGGUAAUACCGGCAGCUCGAGUGAUGGCCGAUUUUAUUGGGCCUAAAGCGUCCGUAGCUGGCCCUGCAAGUCCGUCGGGAAAUCCACUCGCCUAACGAGUGGGCGUCCGGCGGAAACUACAGGGCUUGGGACCGGAAGACUUGAGGGGUACGUCUGGGGUAGGAGUGAAAUCCUGUAAUCCUGGACGGACCGCCGAUAGCGAAAGCACCUCAAGACGACGGAUCCGACAGUGAGGGACGAAAGCCAGGGUCUCCAACCGGAUUAGAUACCCGGGUAGUCCUAGCUGUAAACGAUGUUCGCUAGAUGUGGCACAGGCUACGUGCCUGUGCUGUGUCGUAGGGAAGCCGAGAAGCGAACCGCCUGGGAAGUACGUCCGCAAGGAUGAAACUUAAAGGAAUUGGCGGGGGAGCACUACAACCGGAGGAGCCUGCGGUUUAAUUGGAUUCAACGCCGGGA